rnacentral:rRNA from 1 species
GGCAGGCUUAACACAUGCAGUCGAGCGGCAGCAGAUCUAGCUUGCUAGAUGCUGACGAGCGGCGGACGGGUGAGUAACGCGUAGGAACCUGCCCAGUAGUGGGGGAUAGCCCGGGGAAACUCGGAUUAAUACCGCAUACGCUCUACGGAGGAAAGAGGGGCUUCGGGCUCUCGCUAUUGGAUGGGCCUGCGUGAGAUUAGCUAGUUGGUGAGGUAAUGGCUCACCAAGGCGACGAUCUCUAGCUGGUCUGAGAGGAUGAUCAGCCACACUGGGACUGAGACACGGCCCAGACUCCUACGGGAGGCAGCAGUGGGGAAUAUUGCACAAUGGGCGCAAGCCUGAUGCAGCCAUGCCGCGUGUGUGAAGAAGGCUUUCGGGUUGUAAAGCACUUUCAGUGGGGAGGAAGGCCUCGUAGUUAAUAGCUGCGAGGAUUGACGUUACCCACAGAAGAAGCACCGGCUAACUCCGUG